AGCGAACGCUGGCGGCAGGCCUAACACAUGCAAGUCGAACGGAUCCUUCGGGAUUAGUGGCGGACGGGUGAGUAACACGUGGGAACGUGCCCUUUGGUUCGGAACAACUCAGGGAAACUUGAGCUAAUACCGGAUGUGCCCUUCGGGGGAAAGAUUUAUCGCCAUUGGAGCGGCCCGCGUCUGAUUAGCUAGUUGGUGAGGUAAAGGCUCACCAAGGCGACGAUCAGUAGCUGGUCUGAGAGGAUGAUCAGACACAUUGGGACUGAGACACGGCCCAAACUCCUACGGGAGGCAGCAGUGGUGAAUCUUUCGCAAUAGGCGAAAGCCUGACGCAUCCAUGCCGCGUGAAUGAUGAAGGUCUUAGGAUUGUAAAAUUCUUUCACCGGGGACGAUAAUGACGGUACCCGGAGAAGAAGCCCCGGCUAACUUCGUGCCAGCCGCCGCCGUAAUAC
rnacentral:rRNA from 1 species